UACGGAGGAUGCAAGCGUUAUCCGGAAUUAUUGGGCGUAAAGCGUCCGUAGGUGGCUUUACAGGUCAGCUGUUAAAGCGUGGAGCUUAACUCCAUAAAGGCAGUUGAAACUGUGAGGCUAGAGUGCGGUAGGGGUAAGGGGAAUUCCUAGUGUAGCGGUGAAAUGCGUAGAUAUUAGGAAGAACACCGGUGGCGAAAGCGCCUUGCUGGACCUGCACUGACACUGAGGGACGAAAGCUAGGGGAGCGAAAGGG
rnacentral:rRNA from 1 species